AUGAGCAAAAGAAAAAAGAGAGAGAGAGAGAGAGAAGAUGGACAAACCAAGAAACAGACUGUUAACUUCGGAGAACAAACUGGUGGUUGCCAGAGGGGAGCUGGGAAAAAACCCCACAUCUGUAGUGCAAAAGCAAGCAUCUUAAUAUUUUGUAAAAAGAUAUUCGAUCAAAA
rnacentral:lncRNA from 1 species